CCCUGAGAGAGACCCGAAGAAGCGGAGGUGAGGGUACAAAACCGCCCUGGGAGUUUUCACCCGGGACAGAACUGGCCGCUCCCGCUGUGUAGACUGGGCCUGGGGAAGCUCAGUUUAGUUUUGGUUCUCUAGGAAAUCUUAAACUUAGGUUUCAAAUUUGGCACCCACUAUUGCAGGAACUAGCCCUGAGUUUCUCGGUACUGAAAUCUCUCGAGCAGAACUCCCUUUCUUAUAAACCCCAAAGCACCUACCUCCUCACCCUCUCAGAACCAGUCCAAGUGGAACCGCGCAGAGAAGCACGGGAAAGGAGUCCCGUGGUAACUGUCUGACCACAGACUGGAAACUGUGAGAACUACAAUUCCCAUGAGGCAGCGCGCAGGCGGGGUUUCCCCCCUACCUUCGUAGGCUGUAAGGUCCCCUGCUAGGCCCGCCUCCUGUCUCCUGUCUAUCUCCAGGCAGGGAGUCCCAGGACUUCCCUGCGUGGGCUGGGCUGAAGCGGUUCUGUAAAUCUGUAAGAAGUGAAGGUUUACUAAGGGAGGGUGACAGGGAAGCACAAGGUUAAGAAUAGAACUGGAUGGUGAAGAGAAGUAGUUUGGUUGCAGUUUUACAAGUAGAAAACUUUCUUGAAGUCCUGGAAGUGGGAUUACUGAAAUCAAGAGUAAGGGACACCUACUAAGCGGUUAUCACUUGCAAAACUUGGUCCUCAGUCUUUAGGUUUAGUUUACAUUUACUAUGGAUGGUUAAGAAAAUUCUCAGGUAUGAAUCGUCGUAAUCACAUGGAACUUUAAAUUCUCUGCUGUGUUUACUUACAUCCGGAAUACAUGUUUCUUGUGGAAAAAGUCGAGACCUUGCUCAAAAACAUUGCUCAAACUGAUAAGACAAGCCUUAGCAGUUGUUGGUCUGGUCUCUAUUGCAUACAGUCAUCCCAAGUCUACAUUGUCAGAAUUUUGCAACAGGAUGCAAUCUGUACCGGUAUGUGAUCAUUGCAAGCACACUGCAAUGGAAGGGUCACUUAGCCAGUGCGCUUCAGAAGAAUUGUAACCAACAAAGAAAGCAACUCGGGUCUCCUGGAAGAAGCAAAAAAGAUGGGAACAGGAAGCAACAACAAAAAGUCCCCAGGUCCCAACCCUGAGAACACUGACCCAGGACAGGUAAAUACAAAAGAGAACAAGAAGAGCAAACAUGCAAUAUCAGACAUAGCGCCAGUGAACAUAAAGAGAUAUAUUUGGGACCUCAUAGAUGAGUUCAAACGUGAAAUAUUUAGCCAAAUAAAGCAAGAUAUAAGAAAAUUAAUUAAAGAGAUACUAAACACCCCUCAAGCAGACACAGAUGGAAGGGAGAAACUCAAACAAAGGAGAGAAGCAUUUAAUGAAGAAUAUAAAAAAAACUAUAGGAUACAUGAAGCAGAUUCAAAGAGAUCAACAGGAAAUUAAAAACUAUGGAAAGAUGGUGAAUCAGCUUGAAAGAAACUAAGGAUAGAUUAUCCAAACUGGAGGACAAUUUUGCAAUGUGGGAGUAUGAAAGGGAAAACUUUUUAAAAAUAACAAGAAAACAAGCAAUAACAAUACAAAGGCUAGAAGAUGACAAAAGGAUCUAUAACUUGAGAAUAAAGAAUGUAAGUGAGGAAGCUGGGAUAUAAACAAAGGAACUACAAAGAUUAUUCACAAAAAUAAUUAAGGAAAACUUCCCAAACAUAGGAAAAGAAAAUGAUAUUCUGAUUUAUGAGGCAUACAGAACUCCAGCCACCUACAACCAAAACAGAGCUACACAUAACAUAUAAUAAUCAAGAUCCCAGAAAUUCAAUAUAAGAACAAAAUAUGAAAAGCUGUUAGAGACAAGAAACAGAUAACCUAUAGAGGAAUGCCCAUCAGAAUAACGGCAGACUUUUCGACACAAACCAUCAAGUCAAGAAGAGCCUGGAGUGAAAUAUUCCAAGCCCUGUAAGAAAAUAACCUCCAGCCCAGAUUGAUAUACCCUGCUAAACUGUCUCUAGAAAUUAAUGGAGAAACAAGGUGCUUCCAAGACAAAGAGGAACAUGGGAAAUUCACAACCACCAAUCCAAGUCUACAGAGAAUCCUGCAAGGCAUUCUAUAGAGAGAGAAAAUUACUAGGAUUCCAGGAACAGUGGCAGAGAGGCCUCAAUGAAUGGAGCAGAAAACAGAAUGAAGAAGAUAAGCAAACAACUGAUGGCAAACAAGAGCAUAACAGAAAUGAGGCAGAGAAGAUGUUAAUCAAAACUGAUAUGAUUGAUAGUAUCAAGUCUGAGAGUAUAGGCAACUACACUGAAGAUGACAAGACUAUGAUACACAUUCUAGUUUGAUAACUGCUGGUUUUUGAAGUUCUGUACAAUAACAAAGUUGUGUUUUUAUUAAUACUGUUAUGUACUGAUAUAUUCAAAUAUACUAUGUCUGAUGAUAUAGCCAGUUCUAUUGGAGAUAACAAGAGACAACCUAGGAACCAUGGUAGAACUCUUUGUACAGUGGUCUUACAUUUUUAUUUUGUUUCAUGUGUUUAUAGGAAUAUGUUUUGUUUUGUCUUGCUUUGUUUUGUUUCUCCCUCUAAUAUAGAAAGGAUAGAAAUACAUGUUAAGACUCAUGCAUGUGUAUAAUCUAUAAACAGUUUAUGAGAACUGAUCUUAUGACACAUGAUGAAAUGAACAGAUACUUUGAAGAAAAAGAGACACUAAAGUACCCAGUGCUGAUCCUGGAGUGUCAUAAUGUGAAACCCAGCAAUAGUACUAUGCUUUGUUCAGAGUGAUAUUAGCCUGCUUGGGUUUAUUCAAUAUCAAUAUAAUUGAGGAUAUGGAUAACUGCAUGUAUGUUUAAGUGUAUAGGGUUGAUAACCAUAUUUCUAAGUUUUUGUUGGAUAGUUGAACAGAACUGGUUGCAAUCUCACUGUUUGAAUCCCCACUUUAUAUACUCCACUUUAGUAUCUUGAAUAACUAUUUGUAAGAAGACAAUCUGUAAUAAUCAACUAGUGAUUUCUUACUGUAUUUUUUCUUUGAAAUUAUGUAUCAUUUGUACCCAUUUUCUGUUUUGUUUAGUCUUUCUUUAAAUUAAGUUUUUUUAAAAAGGCACUAUGGUACCCAGCGCUGAUCACAGAGUAUCAUGAUGUAAAAUC